rnacentral:rRNA from 1 species
AUUGAACGCUGGCGGCAUGCCUUACACAUGCAAGUCGAACGGUAACAGGUCUUCGGAUGCUGACGAGUGGCGAACGGGUGAGUAAUACAUCGGAACGUGCCCGAGAGUGGGGGAUAACGAGGCGAAAGCUUUGCUAAUACCGCAUACGAUCUCAGGAUGAAAGCAGGGGACCGCAAGGCCUUGCGCUCACGGAGCGGCCGAUGGCAGAUUAGGUAGUUGGUGGGAUAAAAGCUUACCAAGCCGACGAUCUGUAGCUGGUCUGAGAGGACGACCAGCCACACUGGAACUGAGACACGGUCCAGACUCCUACGGGAGGCAGCAGUGGGGAAUUUUGGACAAUGGGCGCAAGCCUGAUCCAGCCAUGCCACGUGCAGGAUGAAGGCCUUCGGGUUGUAAACUGCUUUUGUACGGAACGAAAAGACUCUGGUUAAUACCUGGGGUCCAUGACGGUACCGUAAGAAUAAGCACUGGCUAACUACGUGCCAGCAGCCGCCGUAACAC